UUAAGAAUAUUCCGCAAUGGACGAAAGUCUGACGGAGCGACGCCGCGUGGAUGAAGAGGGCCGAAAGGUUGUAAAGUUCUUUUGCUAGGGGAGAAUAAGUGAGGGAGGGAAUGCCCUCAUGAUGACAAGGACUAGCGAAUAAGCCCCGGCCAACUACGUGCCAGCAGCCGCGGUAACACGUAGGGGGCGAGCGUUGUUCGGAAUUACUGGGCGUAAAGGGCAUGUAGGCGGCUUGGUAAGCCUGGCGUGAAAGACUGCAGCUUAACUGUAGGGAUGCGUUGGGAACUGCUUAGCUUGAGUUAAGGAGAGGGAGCUGGAAUUCCUGGUGUAUGGGUGAAAUCUGUAGAUAUCAGGAAGAACACCGAUGGCGAAGGCAAGCUUCUGGUCGAUAACUGACGCUGAGGUGCGAAAGUGUGGGGAUCAAACA
rnacentral:rRNA from 1 species